AGAGUUUGAUCCUGGCUCAGGACGAACGCUGGCGGCGCGCCUAACACAUGCAAGUCGAACGAGCGAGAGAGAGCUUGCUUUCUCGAGCGAGUGGCGAACGGGUGAGUAACGCGUGAGGAACCUGCCUCAAAGAGGGGGACAACAGUUGGAAACGACUGCUAAUACCGCAUAAGCCCACGGGUCGGCAUCGACCAGAGGGAAAAGGAGUGAUCCGCUUUGAGAUGGCCUCGCGUCCGAUUAGCUAGUUGGUGAGGUAACGGCCCACCAAGGCAACGAUCGGUAGCCGGACUGAGAGGUUGAACGGCCACAUUGGGACUGAGACACGGCCCAGACUCCUACGGGAGGCAGCAGUGGGGAAUAUUGCACAAUGGGGGAAACCCUGAUGCAGCGACGCCGCGUGGAGGAAGAAGGUCUUCGGAUUGUAAACUCCUGUUGUUGGGGAAGAUAAUGACGGUACCCAACAAGGAAGUGACGGCUAACUACGUGCCAGCAGCCGCGGUAAAACGUAGGUCACAAGCGUUGUCCGGAAUUACUGGGUGUAAAGGGAGCGCAGGCGGGAAGACAAGUUGGAAGUGAAAUCUAUGGGCUCAACCCAUAAACUGCUUUCAAAACUGUUUUUCUUGAGUAGUGCAGAGGUAGGCGGAAUUCCCGGUGUAGCGGUGGAAUGCGUAGAUAUCGGGAGGAACACCAGUGGCGAAGGCGGCCUACUGGGCACCAACUGACGCUGAGGCUCGAAAGUGUGGGUAGCAAACAGGAUUAGAUACCCUGGUAGUCCACACCGUAAACGAUGAUUACUAGGUGUUGGAGGAUUGACCCCUUCAGUGCCGCAGUUACACAUAGUAAUCCACCUGGGAGUACGACCGCAAGGUUGAAACUCAAAGGAAUUGACGGGGGCCCGCACAAGCAGUGGAGUAUGUGGUUUAAUUCGACGCAACGCGAAGAACCUUACCAAGUCUUGACAUCCCUUGACAGACAUAGAAAUAUGUAUUCUCUUCGGAGCAAGGAGACAGGUGGUGCAUGGUUGUCGUCAGCUCGUGUCGUGAGAUGUUGGGUUAAGUCCCGCAACGAGCGCAACCCUUAUGGUCAGUUACUACGCAAGAGGACUCUGGCCAGACUGCCGUUGACAAAACGGAGGAAGGUGGGGAUGACGUCAAAUCAUCAUGCCCUUUAUGACUUGGGCUACACACGUACUACAAUGGCGUUAAACAAAGAGAAGCAAGACCGCGAGGUGGAGCAAAACUCAGAAACAACGUCCCAGUUCGGACUGCAGGCUGCAACUCGCCUGCACGAAGUCGGAAUUGCUAGUAAUCGUGGAUCAGCAUGCCACGGUGAAUACGUUCCCGGGCCUUGCACACACCGCCCGUC
rnacentral:rRNA from 1 species